CCAGAUCUCAAUCGUUAGCUACGGUGAAGAAAAGCCAUUAGUGCUUGGUCACACUGACGCUGACUAUGCUAAGAACCGUCGUGCGGUUCUAGUUUACUAAUAGAACAGGUAAACGAUUAUGAACAGUAACAUUGUGCGAAAUAUCGCAUUAGC
rnacentral:sRNA from 1 species